rnacentral:tRNA from 1 species
UGUGGUAAGAACGGGGUU